UGCCAAUGUCCGUAAAGUUUAUGAACAGAAUCGAUGACAAAGGGCAGCCUUGGCGGAGUCCAACCCUCACUGGAAACGAUUCUGACUUACUGCCGGUAAUGUGAACCAAAUUCUGACAUCUGUGGUGGAGGGACCAAAGUGCCCGCAUCAGGGGAUUCGGUACCUCAUACUCCUGAAGCAAUCAUAUAAUGUAAUAUCGUACUCAAAUGUGUAAUGCAUAGAUUUUUAUUCUGGGUGAGGGAAUUUUCGUUUGACAGAAGUCCAUAGAUGGCAAUACUUACUGUAAUUAUGUUUCAUUGAACAAUUAUAAUAUUUAAGUCUGGUUUAAAAAAUAUGAACAGGUAUAUACAUUUGUGUUAUUACAGUUGCUGAAACAUAUAGAUGUUGCUUGAAAUUUAUCAUGCUCCCCUCAAAACAGACCGCAGAGUAAAAUAAAAGUUAAAGGCUGAGCAAUUUUAGUUUAUCGUUGGCCAUGAAGGGGGGAGGGGCUGUUCCCAGCUCCAAACCCUCGCAGUUGCACUGUUUGAACCUAGUUUAUUCAGCUCCCCUCCCCCACACUAGUUUGAGCACGUGAUCAAUUAGGAGCGCGGUUCAUACAGCAGCAACAAAGCUUUGCAAGAAGAGUUGAGUGUUGCAGUCGUGUCCCCAGAAAAUCUAAUUCGUUUUAUUCUGCUUUGGACAUUGAAACUGUAUAAUACGAAUUGCAUCCAAUAAGUAAAUAAUAAUGAUGUUUCAUCACAAUUCCAUAUUAGCAUUUGGGAAUAAUGUUGCUUUCAGAACAAUUACAAUAUUUUAAGUCGUUUUUAAAAUAUGUGUGUGUGUGUGUAUACUGUAUAUAUAUACAGUAUGUAUAUACACACACAUGUAUAUAUGCUGUGCUCAUUUUAGGAGUACAUGACAUUGGUGUAAACAAGAGUUCAUAAAAUAUGUUGAUAUUGCUUGACAUUUACUAUGCCCCACUUCAAAACGGACCUCAGAGGAAAAGUGAAGGAGUUUUGGUUAUGAAGGGGCGGGGCUGUUUUCACACCCCAAAACGUCACAGUUACGUUGCAGGAAACGAGUUUCUACAGCUACCCUCCCCCACAUCACACUCGCUGACCAUCAAUUAGGAAACGCGCGCUUUGCUACCUGCACAAAAGGAAGGCGUUGAGAAGAGUGAGCGUACGAGUCAGCAUCAUCGAGAAAACCCCAGAAAGUGACAAAUACUUCAGAAUUAAAGCAGAUGGACAAUCCCACUGAAGAUGGUGAUUAUUCUGACUCAAGUCUUUUUGGAUCAGAUGAGGAAUACAAACCAACUAAGACAUCCUCUGAGUCGAGUGAUGACGAGGAGAUAUUCCAUCCAAAGGUAGAAAAAUUGUUCUUAUGAUACAUCCAGUGAAGACUCUACAAGUCAUCAGACAUAUGAAGCAGAGGAGCACAGUCAUGUCUGCAAUUCGUAAAGAAGCCCCAAAAAGGGAAAAGCAUCUCUCCAAAAGAGGGAAGACUGAAUUGGAUGAUUCGAGUCCAGGCGGGGACCCUGGCGGUCCGAUCCUUGGCUGCAGAAGCUAGCUCUUGGGACAUGGAAUGUCACCUCUCUGGCAGGGAAGGAGCCCGAGCUGGUGUGUGAGGCAGAGAAUUUCCGACUGGAUAUAGUCGGACUUGCCUCCACACACAGCCUGGGUUCUGGUACCAGUUCUCUCGAGAGGGGUUGGACUCUCUUCCACUCUGGAGUUGCUCACGGUGAGAGGCGCAGAGCAGGUGUGGGCAUACUCAUUGCCCCCCGGCUCAGUGCCUGUACAUUGGGGUUCACACCGGUAGACGAGAGGGUUGCCUCCCUCCGCCUUCGGGUGGGUGGACGGGUCCUGACUGUUGUUUGUGCAUAUGCACCAAACAGCAGCUCAGCAUACCCACCCUUUUUGGAGUCCUUGGAGGGUGUGCUGGAGAGUACUCCUGCUGGGGACUCCAUUGUUCUGCUGGGGGACUUCAAUGCUCACGUGGGCAAUGACAGUGAUACCUGGAGGGGCGUUAUUGGGAGGAACGGCCCCCCCGAUCAAAACCCGAGUGGUGUUUUGUUAUUGGACUUCUGUGCUCGUCACGGAUUGUCCAUAACGAACACCUUGUUCAAACAUAAGGGUUUCCAUAUGUGCACUUGGCACCAGGACACCCUAGGCCGCAGUUCGAUGAUCGACUUUGUAGUUGUAUCAUCGGAUUUGCGGCCGCAUGUUCUGGACACUCGGGUGAAGAGAGGGGCGGAGCUGUCAACUGAUCACCACCUGGUGGUGAGUAGGCUCCGAUGGUGGGGGAAGAUGCCGGUCCGUCCUGGCAGACCCAAACGUAUAGUGAGGGUUUGUUGGGAGCGUCUGGCGGAAUCCCCUGUCAGAAGGAGUUUCAACUCCCACCUCCGACAGAGCUUUUCCCAUGUUCCGGGGGAGACGGGGGACAUUGAGUCCGAGUGGACCAUGUUCCGUGCCUCUAUUGUUGAGGCGGCCAAUCUGAGUUGUGGCCGUAAGGUGGUUGGUGCCUGUCGUGGCGGCAAUCCCCGUACUCGCUGGUGGACACCAGCAGUAAGGGAUGCCGUCAAGCUGAAGAAGGAGUCCUAUCGAGCCUUUAUGGCCUGUGGGACCCCAGAGGCAGCUGACGGGUAUCGACUGGCCAAGCGGACCGCGGCUUCGGUGGUCGCCGAGGCAAAAACCCGAGCGUGGGAAGAGUUCGGUGAGGCCAUGGAAGCGGACUUCCGGACGGCUUCGAGGAAAUUCUGGUCCACCAUCCAACGUCUC